ensembl:lncRNA
GGAACAUGUUAGGCACAGGACAUAGUGUGUUACAACAAUGAUGCAGCCAUACAGUGCCCAUACACAUAAGCUAAAUUUGACUUCUAGACCUGUGGUAAUUUCAAAAACUGUUUUCUUUCUCAUGGGUUCACAUGCCACAUUCCCAUCCUAUUGCUGUCAUCUUGAAGGGGGAAAAAUGAAUCCACAUGAAGCUGGCCAAAUUUAAGAUUAAAGCAAGAGAAUGGAGGACAUUGAGACAGAGGAAGCAAUGAAGUUGUGCAUAGUCACACAACUGAUAAGUCAUAGAACCAGGAUUUGAACCCAAGCCGUUUACAACAGAGUCCAGCUUCAAAAGAUUGCUGUGAAGAUCAAUAAGACCAACAUACAAAAUGCAUACACAUACUGGAUGGUAUGCUUAACAAUGGAAAGAUUAAAUGAACAUGUGCUGUAGCAAACUAGAAAAAGACAGGAAGCAGAUUUUAAAUAUAUUCUUUCUAUAUACAAAGCCACACAUAUUCAAAACGAAUUAUCUGAUAAUUUUUAAAAGGCAGUAUUUAUAUCAUUUUAAUAAUUUUAAUAUUAUGACUUCCUUAUUCUGUCCUACUGUAAACUUUACCAACUAGAUCAGUCCUGUAUGAUAUUAAAAGACCUCUUUUUAUACAAACAUUGGAGUCCUGUAUGAUAUUAAAAGUUAGACCUUUUUUAUACAAACAUUGGAGCUUUUUAUACAAACAUUUUUAUACAAACAUUUAUACAAACUCAGUAAAACAUUCAGCUCAUUUAACUUUUCUGUUACUGACUUUAGAAAAUCUUAAAUGCUCAUUUCAAAUAGCAUCUUUUCAAAGUAGUUCGAGUUUCCUGGAAAUCAUCCUAAAUUAUCUGGCCAAUAAAAAACUCGAGUGGUAAAUGACAAAAAGAAUUCCAGAAACAUUAUAUGUACCAUUGCUAUGAAAGAUAAGGUUUCUCAGUAGUACCCCACCCCUUUGCAUACGACUGUAUUUGACAUGUGAAAUGUGAACUGAGGAAAGAGCACCUAGAAAUAACCAUGGUAAUGGGUUUCCUUCUGCAUUUAAAAGAGGAAUGAGGAAG